GCCAUUCCUUUGGUGCCUGGGGCACGACCUGUCAACCUGCGCCCAUACCGAUACAGCCCGGCGCAGAAGGAUGAGAUAGAGCGGCAAGUGGUUGACAUGCUAGCCCAAGGCAUUAUUCAGACAAGUGUGAGUCCUUUUGCCUCUCUGGUCGUGUUAGUUCAUAAAAAAGAUCUCACUUGGCGCUUCUGUGUGGAUUAUCGACACCUCAACGCGAUCACAGUUAAGAACUGUUAUCCUCUUCCGAUUAUUGAUGAGUUGCUUGAUGAGAUAGAAGGAGCUCGGGUGUUCACCAGUUUGGACUUGCGGGCAAGUUACCACCAAAUCCGGAUGCGACCUGAGGACGAGCACAAAACGGCGUUCAAAACACACAGCGGACACUUCGAGUUCAGAGUCCUGCCGUAUGGUGUUACCGGUGGUCCACCAACCUUUCAAGGGGGCAUGAUCAUGUAUAUA
rnacentral:rRNA from 1 species